rnacentral:lncRNA from 1 species
UUAUAACCUUGUUUAUACAAUAAAGAUGUAGAAAUAAUGUUUCUAAUGAUCUUUGACAUGUAAUAACAGUCUUUUAAUUCUAAAAUUUUAUCCGAAGAUAAAUUAAGUACACAGAUUUUUACAGUCUCUGUGCUAAUGGACUCUCCACUUGCGCCAUAGAGCUCGAGGUCACUUCUUUUCAGACUUUUGAUAUUCUAUAGUCGCUGUAAUGAAUUACAAAUAUACGAUCCAUAGGUGGUAUCUAAUACCCAAGUAUCAGAGUCUGAGCCACUCAAUGAAAAAAUAGGUUUGUAUCAUAUGCACACCUUUUGGUGCUAUACUUGCAUCCUACUUCAAACUUGCAAGAUUAUUCUUGUAAUUAUACUCUCAAUAUCCAAACUUGCUAUAA